rnacentral:rRNA from 1 species
CGCCUCUUGAUUAAACAUAAGAGGUCCAGCCUGCCCAGUGACAAAGUUCAACGGCCGCGGUACCCUGACCGUGCGAAGGUAGCAUAAUCACUUGUUCUUUAAAUAGGGACUAGUAUCAACGGCAUCACGAGGGUUACACUGUCUCCUCCCUCUAAUCAGUGAAACUGAUCUCCCCGUGAAGAAGCGGGGAUUUAAAUAUAAGACGAGAAGACCCCAUGGAGCUUCAAACCCACAGCAACUCUCAACACUUAUACCCCGAUAUAUUAGAGUUAUGCACGACGGUUUUAGGUUGGGGUGACCGCGGAGUAAAAACUAACCUCCACGACGCACAGAACUACUCCUUUAUCCAAGAAUUACUAUUCUAAGAAUCAGCAGACUGACGUAAAAUGACCCGAUAAUCGAUCAACGAACCAAGUUACCCUGGGGAUAACAGCGCAAUCCACUUCAAGAGCCCAUAUCGACAAGUGGGUUUACGACCUCGAUGUUGGAUCAGGGUAUCCCAGUGGUGCAGCCGCUACUAAUGGUUCGUUUGUUCAACGAUUAAAACCCU